UACGAAGGGGGCUAGCGUUGUUCGGAAUUACUGGGCGUAAAGCGUGCGCAGGCGGCUUCUCAAGUCAGGGGUGAAAGCCCAGAGCUCAACUCUGGAAUUGCCUUUGAGACUGAGUGGCUUGAGUACGAGAGAGGUGAGUGGAAUUCCCAGUGUAGAGGUGAAAUUCGUAGAUAUUGGGAAGAACACCGGUGGCGAAGGCGGCUCACUGGCUCGUAACUGACGCUCAUGCACGACAGCGUGGGGGAUCAAAACAGG
rnacentral:rRNA from 1 species